CCUACGGGAGGCAGCAGUGAGGAAUAUUGGUCAAUGGACGAGAGUCUGAACCAGCCAAGUAGCGUGAAGGAUGACUGCCCUAUGGGUUGUAAACUUCUUUUAUAUGGGAAUAAAAUGUUCCACGUGUGGGAUUUUGUAUGUACCAUAUUAAUAAGGAUCGGCUCACUCCGUGCCAGCAGCCUCGGUAAUACGGAGGAUCAGAGCGUUAUCCGGAUUUAUUGGGUUUAAAGGGAGCGUAGGUGGUUUGUUAAGUCAGUUGUGAAAGUUUGCGGCUCAACCGUAAAAUUGCAGUUGAAACUGGCAGUCUUGAGUACAGUAGAGGUGGGCGGAAUUCGUGGUGUAGCGGUGAAAUGCUGAGAUAUCACGAAGAACUCCGAUUGCGAAGGCAGUUCACUGGACUGCAACUGACACUGAGGCUCGAAAGUGUGGGUAUCAAACAGGAUUAGAUACCCUAGUAGUC
rnacentral:rRNA from 1 species